rnacentral:rRNA from 1 species
CCUACGGGUGGCAGCAGUCGGGAAUAUUGCGCAAUGGAGGAAACUCUGACGCAGUGACGCCGCGUAUAGGAAGAAGGUUUUCGGAUUGUAAACUAUUGUCGUUAGGGAAGAUAAAAGACUGUACCUAAGGAGGAAGCCCCGGCUAACUAUGUGCCAGCAGCCGCGGUAAUACAUAGGGGGCAAGCGUUAUCCGGAAUUGUUGGGUGUAAAGGGUGCGUAGACGGAGAAGCAAGUUAGUUGUGACAUCCCUCGGCUUAACUGAGGAACUGCAACUAAAACUACUUCCCUUGAGUACUGGAGAGGAAAGUGGAAUUCCUAGUGUAGCGGUGAAAUGCGUAGAUAUUAGGAGGAACACCAGGGGCGAAGGCGACUUUCUGGACAGUAACUGACGUUGAGGCACGAAAGUGUGGGGAGCAAACAGGAUUAGAUACCCUUGUAGUC